UACGGAGGAUCCGAGCGUUAUCCGGAUUUACUGGGUGUAAAGGGAGCGUAGACGGUUAUGUAAGUCUGGAGUGAAAGCCCGGGGCCCAACCCCGGGACUGCUUUGGAAACUGUGUAACUGGAGUACAGGAGGGGCAGGCGGAAUUCCUAGUGUAGCGGUGAAAUGCGUAGAUAUUAGGAGGAACACCAGUGGCGAAGGCGGCCUGCUGGACGGUGUACUGACGCUGAGGCUCGAAAGCGUGGGGAGCAAACAGG
rnacentral:rRNA from 1 species